GUCUGCACCUCAUCAGCCUCUGCUACAGUAUAUGGACUGGACAACCAUGCAAAGACAGCUGACACUCAUCUUCAUUAUUUAUCUUCACUAUGGAGAAUGUAAAGAAGAUGUAAAGCAGUCCCCUCUCUCACACAAUGCUGAAGAAGGAGAUGGGCUUGUUAUGCAGUGUGAAUACACUGACAGUGCAUUAUACAGUCUGCAGUGGUACAAGCAAAGUCCUGGAGAGAGUCUUAUGCUAUUAAGAAAUCAGCUGGGAAAUGAAAAUAUCACAGAGGAUAGAUAUUCAUAUCAAUUAGAAAAGGAGAAGAAACUCAGCCGUGUGUCUAUCACCAAGCUGGAGAUCUCAGACUCAGCCACGUACUGGUGUGCUUUUAGAGCACAGUGACAGAAAGCAGCUGAUCACUACACAGAAACCUCGCAGAUGCAUUUGUAUCAGGGGAAUGUAGAAUAUCGUAGGAGAUAACCACCUGGAUCAUGUAAUAAAGAGAAGAAGAAUUGGUUUCUAUUCAUUUUAUAAUUUUGUAGAUACUAAAUACCAAUACAAUAAAAUGUAAUAUUUCUCAUUCUACUGUAGGUGAGAUAUGGAGUCAUGUGCAGUGUAAAAAGAUUUCUCAAUAAAUGUCAGUACAGAGUACA